CGAUCUCUCUCCCAACGCCUAAGAAACACUAACAAAGGUAAGAUGAUAGUAUAUGGUGAUUUUUGCCUCUUUCUGUAAUUUUAGCUUGAUUUAUCAAAAUCGAUAUGUUUCUAAGAAAGAAGACGAAGUUUUUCAAGUGAAGUUUUCAGAUCUCAAAUUUAUAAGAUCUUAUAAAUUGUGUCCUUUCAAAUCUUACUGUUGAUCUUUUAGCAAUCAAAAGACACAAAGCUUAACGUAAGAGUACAAUUAUUGAUUUGGUUGAUUUAUUGUCAUAGUUUUCAGAUUUAUAUAAUUAUUUAAUUCAUGAGAAGGUACUAACCUAAGAGUAUAAUUAUUCCAUGAUUACUUCUUCUCUUGGUUGAUUUGGUGAUGUUGCAGAGAAUUACAAAUGUGUGUUGUCAGCUUUUGGAUUUAAAGGAUGUUGUGGAGAAGAUGUGUGGUGAUAUGCAUAUCUAAGUAUCUCACUUCCUUAAGAAGCAGUGGAGAUGAAGGAUGAGUUUGUUGAGUUACGAAAGCAUACUAUUUUUGAAUCUUAUUUUUGGAAGUGAAUGCUGAUGCGUAGAAAUAAUAUGUGACUGGCUUUUGUUUAGAUUUUGAAAAUUUACGAGGUUGGUGAGCUGUUUGAAGAGGCAAGAGAGACUCUGAAGAAGAAUGUGGUUUGUGCUAUCAAAGAAUUACGUAUUUAUAACGCUUUAUAAAAGUUGCAGAGUUGGCUUCUUAGUACAUUCUUCUCUCUCAUCUUCUUUAGACAUCUCUUAUACUAAAACAAUUGUAUCUCUCUUUUAGUAGUUGCAUAGUUGAAGAUAUUAGUUGGACAUGUAAGUGAGUUUGGUUUCAAUUGUUUCUUUUAUAGAAGAGUGAGAUAUGGAGAAGCCUUGAUGUUCUCAGACUAUGUUAAAGCAAUAUAUCCCUUGUUGAAGGA